AGGCUUCUUUCAAGCAAAUCAAUGAGAUGAAGGACAGUGUCUCCUCACUGAAGUUCAUCACCAGCAUACUCCUUCAAGCUGAGCUGCACAUUCGAGCAUAUUCAGAAACGAUCAUCAACAUUUUGCCACAGAAAUGUCAGCCAGGCUCUGUGAUCCAUCAGACAGCAAGGAUGGUCAUGUCCAUGACACCGGCUUUGAAUAGACACUAAAGAAAAAAUUAGAAGAAUCAGAAGAAUGCUUUCUUCCUCCCAUCGUAAUAACUGGAACCUGAAGGCAAGUGUCAGAGAGCUGCAAAGGAGAUGCAUGAAAAUGUGUGAAGAGAGAGAUGCACUUGACUUGAUGCUGGAGGAGAGAGACAAAAGUGCUGAUCUGGAGCAGGAGGAAUUUCAGAAGACAUUUCAAGAGAAAGAGAUGGCUCUACAGCAGUGAUUACCGAGCAAGACUGUUAAGGGAAACCAAAUAUGACAUCUAAAUAAGGUAACCAUGGCAAUAGGAGAGUGAGGCUUCAUGAACUCCAUUAUAGGUGGGACUACCGUGUGCUGUUAGUCAUUGACAUUGAUAUGAACCAAUCUAUCAAGUUUGGUCUCCAUAGCAGACCACUUUGACUGGAUCAAUUGUAUCAGCUGUUAAUAACUCAUAAUAACUCCACCCAUUCCGGGGCUCGUGUCUUAUUCCAAGUACCAGUCAUUGGAGAGAAAAGGGAAUAAUAUUGAUGCUAAUUUUAGAAGUAACUGAAUCGGAGUUAACAAUGGACAGACACUUAACAGAAAGCUUAAAUUGUAUUUGAAUGAUGAAGCUUUUGAUUAUUUUUUAACAUGCUGGAAUCCUGUACAGGAUAAAUGAGUGUCACAUGGUGCACACCUCCAUGUGCUGUGAACCGGUUUAUACAAACACAUGAGUUACUGCUGGCUCCAGCACAGUGUAAGACUGAAGCUGGUGUGCUUCGUGCUGCAGGAAGCUGGGCCAGCUUGAGCAGCACUGGAGAGCAAAACUGGAAAGAGUGAUGGAGGAGAGGAGCGAGCAGGAGCAGCGUGCGAAGCAGGAGAUCCAGGGUCUGCUCCUUAAGCUGUUCAAGACUGAGCAGCUGCACCAGACCCAGGUGAGCACAUCCAGCGAGUACCAAUGCUCCACUCUACCCUCUCUACAGUCAGGUCUGCCUCCUGUUAUAGGAUUGCAUACAUAUGUGUGGGUCUUAGGAACACCUUUAAUCUCCAUGUUCUCCUAUUCCAUUGCAUAUAUGUGACUGUGAGAUCAAGUACAGGGACUCACUAAAACUGGUGUCUGAGCUGCAGCGUCAAAUGGAGGAGCAUGAGGAUGCAGUUCUUCAGAACAAACAGGAGAAACUUGCAAAAGCAGCAAGCAAUGUCCUUGAGCCGAAGAGACGGAUGGCCAUGUCUCGGGAGAAAUAUCUGGAGCACCACAUGAAGAAGGCCUCCUAGAUUAUUAGAUGAUUGUUUGUGCUGUUUAGAGACCUUUAAGGAGGCAUUCACAUCCACCUGGCCUCCUGUGGUUAAGACCACACCCACACCAUGGCAGGCAGAUGAACCCCACACCUGUACAACACAAUCAAAGCCCUUUACUGCUGAGACGGUUUACAUUUCUGUUUAACAGACCAGAAAACUCUAUAGCAUAGUUAAUACAUUUACUACAUUUUCCUAUUAAAAAUUUAAAAAAAAAAUCAAAUAAUUUUACGCUUUUGGAGGUUCAAUGUACAUGGCAACAAAGCAAGUGAAAUUCAGUGUUUAUUAAAUGAGGAAAUGAGGUCACAAGGAAAUACUGUUGGGAUGCUGUGUAAUUCUCAACUGAGCAUCAGUGCAGCCCUGCAGUGUCAGGAAACACACACCCUGGUGGUUGGGGGGAGCAUUGCAGUGAUUGUCAGCCCAUUCUAGAAGUAAAACAAUGGUAUGUGAGAACAGUACUGCUCACACAUGGACACAGAUGGGAAAGGAGAUGUUUAGAGACGUUUGUGCAGCAUGGCUGUGAGCUUCAGGUGCUCAUUGGUCAGUGUCAUGGCGGACGUCACAUGUUAAGCAAUAAGAACAGGGCUGACCACACUCAGAUCACACAGCUCCUGCAGAAGACUGACA